CACCAAGAUAUGUUUAGUUGACAACUGACUCUAUAAGAGAUGUAAAAAAUCUCUCCAGUUCAGCCAACUUGCUGUUUUCUUUAAAUCCAGGUAAAUGCAAAUACAAAUCAGUUCACAUGUCACUGUUUAGUGAUUAAACCCAUUAGUGAUAUUUCAUUCAGAUGAAAUGAAUACCCCAGAGCUGGAACAUAAAGGCUCCAAUCCCCAAACAUGACCAUUUUGUUAAUGAAACUAUGCCCAUUU